UGCACACACACUUUCUUGGAUCAGAGCCACACUAUUUCACUUCUUGCUGAUCCAGGAUUUCAGAGUGACUCGGUUGCUGAUCAAGAAUAUGCACUGGGCCUCGGAGUCGUGAAUCAGCUGUUUCGUGGGAUUCAGAAUAUUUAGAGAGCAGCUUGCUACUUUUGCUUACUGUGUUAGAACAUACCUACCAGCUCUGUGUGCAGCCAGGAACACAACACAUCAGCACCUACGCACAGAAUGCUUUCUACUUACUAAAUGUGAAAUUGGAAAUUCUCAGCUCUCCCUGAAGAGACAACAUGCCUUUCUUAACCAAAGUGCUGACGCUGUGACUCUGUAAAUCCUCAGUAGAAUAGUGUUUCUCACUUGCAAUGUAAGAAGUUAAAUUUACAGACGCCCUGACAGCCUCCUGCCUCUUGCUGAAUUCCAGGCUGAGCUGACUGCUGCGGUUCAGCCCAGGGUUCAGGCAGAUAAUCACGUUACUGUUGGGUAAAGAGCCGCUGUGUGUUCAUUGAGGCUGGGGGCUCAACCACACGUGUACUUCCAGACCCUCACAAACACAUGGCAAAAAUGCAUUAUCUUAAAUCUUUUUUUUUUUUUUUGCUGACAUGUCAAUGAACACAUUUUUCCUCAAACACGGGACAGGCCAAGAGCAUCUGGCUCCACUGACACACGAUCUUCAGAACUGGACCAGAUCAGCUGUAGUGCUCUCUCAAUGGUAGAAGCCUGAGGAUGGUUGAAAGGAAAGGAGGUACCACAGCAAUCUGUCAUCAGUGCAACUUCCAGCAAUCUUUGUAGUUAACAGACCGUAGUGGAUUUUUUUUCUCCUCAUGAAUUUACCUAAUCACUUUCUAAAUCCUGUUUCAUGCAAUACUGUGAGAAUAAUCAUCUAAUUUUGGUCUCUAAGACAAGAAAUACAAAAACAAUAGGAGGCCCAGGAAAGAAUGAAAUUUUGCCAACAGAUAUUACAAAAACAGGCAACAAUUACAGCAUAUUGACAAAGAAAUUUACUAAAACCACUCAUUAUAAAAUAACCCAGCAUUUCCUGCUGUGAAAAUGAAUUUGUUAUUUAGACCACAUCACUGUUUUUGAAAAAUCACCACCUGUAAUUGCUUUUCUAAGCUUGUGACAAGGGCAUUUCUCUUUUGGUGUCAUGAAGUCAAAUUAAAAGUGUGCCUUUUCAACUGGUAACACUGUCUAGGGUUAAAUAACAAAUCUUUCCAAACUCUUUACUCAAAGAUUUUUGCAUCAGUUAUGAAUGAGAAGAAAAAAAGACAAAUGUUUCUAGGAUGUCACCAGUCUUUGCCUAGCAGUGAGAAAUUCACUGUGAAGUUAUGCUUCUUGUUCUCUACUACAAAACCAACUUUUAUGUAUUUUGCAAUCCUCGUCCACUAUUUCUGCUGUAAUCUCUUGCAAAAUGUUGAAAAUUUAAAGCUCUACACUCACAUGUUUAUUGCCCUACAAUCUGAUUUACCGAAUAAAAGAAUAUGCCCAGGA